rnacentral:rRNA from 1 species
GAGGUGUGUAUUGUUUAAUAAAUUUUUUCUAAUCUAUUUGAUUUGAACUUAAAUUAUUUAAUUAUCUCAAAUAAUAAUUCUAAGUAACAAAUUAUUUACUUAAUUAGUAAGUAAAAUUACUUAGUUAAUUAGUACAAACAAAAUUUCAUAAUAAUUAAAUUAAUAUAAUAUAAUUAAUUUGAAAAAAUGUAUUAGUUUACAAAUUAGAUUAAUCUGAAAUGAUUAUAUAAUAUAUGCUUACAAAUUAUAUGUACUAUUUUAAUUAUUAUCAGUAACAGAUUUAUAAUUAUUAUAGAAUAACUGAUCUAAUUUUAUAAACGUGAUUAUUAAAAUUUUUAAACCCAACGAAUUCAAUUUAGUAACAUCUCAAAAGUCAUAGCAAGG